UUACUACUCCCUCCAUUCUGAAUUACUUGUCGCAGAAAUGGAUGUAUCUAGCUGUAUUUUAGUUCUAGAUACAUCCAUUUCUGCGACGACUAAUUUGGAACGGAGUGAGUACUUA
rnacentral:pre_miRNA from 1 species